UUUAACACAAUUAGUGUCACAUGUUUUGAGUCAAUCUAAUUAGAGCAGUCGGCAAACAAAGGCGUCAAGAAGUGCUUCGUGUUUUGAACGAAAAAUCCAAGCUAAAAUUGUUUUCAACAGGUAAAAAUUACUUAACUAAAAAGUUUGUUUUAGCACAACCAUAAAAACAAAUCAUAGUUUUCGAGGUUGAAAAUUUUACGCUGCAUUCGAAAAAUGGGGAAAACAGAGACUUACUUGUAAAAGACAACAUUUUUAAUUUCAAUUGUGUAUUACAAGUGUUAAAGAGGUUAGCACUAUUAGUAGUAAUAAUAAAAUUUCUCUGAAUAGUCAAUAUAUUAAUAGAAGGAAAACUUAUGUAGUUUAUAUUUAUUGUUAUACUCUUAUCUAAAGUACCGCAUUGUAAUUUAAGAACAAUAUUUACAAAAAGAUAAAACUGUUGUUUUGAAAUGAAAUGUGAGUAGGUAUUUCUUAAUUAAAAAUUGAAAUUUAAUUUAAAAUAGAAAAAAGAAAACAACGAUCGGUUUGCAGGUAAUUAAACGAGGGUUUCUACCAACACACUUUUUCAAAUACAUUUAGUUACAUACUUCUAUUCAGGGAAAUGACAAAAGUCCGGUUAUGGAAUCUGGGAGUUUUAAACUUGGGUUAUCGAUUCAUUCUGGUGAAUUUAUUUUUAAUAUAAUGGCCUGCAAGUGGCUCAAAAUACAUUAUUUUCGCAGUCAUUUCUAAGCUAUUUGGCACAUUUAUAAUAAACUAGGAAGAAAAAAUAAUGGUUCUUCCUCAAAAAUCUUCAGUUUUUGCCAAAAUAAAACGAUUUGGUAAAUUCGUCUCUGAUAUGACUUUUUUUAGCCAGCAACUGUGAACAAAAACAUUGCCUACGUCUUCUUAAUUAAAAAACAAAUUUGCUCUCUGAGUGCCUAAAUUAAAACUCCCUGAGAAAGUA